rnacentral:rRNA from 1 species
GACGAACGCUGGCGGCGUGCUUAACACAUGCAAGUCGAACGGAAAGGCCCUGCUUUUGUGGGGUGCUCGAGUGGCGAACGGGUGAGUAACACGUGAGUAACCUGCCCUUGACUUUGGGAUAACUUCAGGAAACUGGGGCUAAUACCGGAUAGGAGCUCCUGCUGCAUGGUGGGGGUUGGAAAGUUUCGGCGGUUGGGGAUGGACUCGCGGCUUAUCAGCUUGUUGGUGGGGUAGUGGCUUACCAAGGCUUUGACGGGUAGCCGGCCUGAGAGGGUGACCGGCCACAUUGGGACUGAGAUACGGACCAGACUCCUACGGGAGGCAGCAGUGGGGAGUAUUGCACAAUGGGCGGAAGCCUGAUGCAGCAACGCCGCGUGCGGGAUAACGGCCUUCGGGUUGUAAACCGCUUUCGCCUGUGACGAAGCGUGAGUGACGGUAAUGGGUAAAGAAGCACCGGCUAACUACGUG